rnacentral:misc_RNA from 1 species
UUAAGUUCAGCGGGUUUUCCUACCUGAUUUGAGACCAAGUGUUCAGGGAGAUCCUGUUAAGGACCCCCGCUGGAUGAUAGUUGAGUCCACAGCACCAGAGGCUCUGAUCCCAGAACGGAUGCUCAAGACGUACUUCAGAGAAAAUCCCUUUCAUGCGCUCGAAACCGGACGGGCGUCCAAUGAUUCCAUGACAUUGUAUU